GGAGAGGAGCGUCGGGCGGCCGCGCGCGCAGUGGCGGUGACCGCCUCGUCCUCCGGAUUCUGAGAGGUGUGCGGUGUGGACCCGCCCCUGGUACCUGGGCGUGAGUCCCGGGGUGUGACGGCGUGUGUGUACAAUCCUGACUGCAGUCGCAGUGUGGACUCUCCCCGCCGUCGAACAAUGACCCCACUGGCCUGUGCUACGAUCCACCCUAAUUCUGACCCUAUCUCGCUGGCGACGGCUCAGCCCCCAGGACGGCGCCCACCCCCCCCCCCCCCCGGACCCCAGUUCCAGGUCUGUAGGUCAGAGUUUCUGGGGACCCUCCUCCGAGGGCUUAAUAUGCCAAGGGCGGAUCACAGACCUGGGAGAGGCGUCUUACUUACCAGUCACCAGCGUUACAAAAGGACGUAACCCAGAAACGGCCCUGGAAGAGGUGCACAGGGUGAAGCUUCCACUCUUCCAGCACCUCCACGCGUUCACCGACCCGGAAGCGCUCUGAACCGCGUCCUUUUUCGGAAGAGGCUACACCGCAAAGGCACCCUGGAUGAAACCAUUGGCCAAUGGUGAUGGAACUCAAUUUCCAGCCCCUCUCCCUGGCACCGAGAGAGAAUAUCUCAAGCAGUCUCUGUACUGGGAGUCUGAUGAG